rnacentral:rRNA from 1 species
GAUGAACGCUGGCGGCGUGCUUAACACAUGCAAGUCGAACGGGAAACCUUUUAUUGAAGCUUCGGCAGAUUUAGCUGGUUUCUAGUGGCGGACGGGUGAGUAACGCGUGGGUAACCUGCCUUAUACAGGGGGAUAACAACCAGAAAUGGUUGCUAAUACCGCAUAAGCGCACAGGACCGCAUGGUCCGGUGUGAAAAACUCCGGUGGUAUAAGAUGGACCCGCGUUGGAUUAGCUAGUUGGCAGGGUAACGGCCUACCAAGGCGACGAUCCAUAGCCGGCAGGAGAGGGUGAACGGUCAGGUUGGAAAUGCGACACGGCCCAGACUCGUACGGGAGGCAGCAGUGGGGAAUAUUGCAGAAUGGGGGAGACCCUAAUGCAGCGACGCCGCGUGAAGGAAGAAGUAUCUCGGGAUGUAAACUUCUAUCAGCAGGGAAGAUAGUGACGGUACCUGACUAAGAAGCCCCGGCUAACUACGUG